CCUACGGGAGGCAGCAGUGAGGAAUAUUGGUCAAUGGCCGGGAGCCUGAACCAGCCAAGCCGCGUGCAGGACGAAGGUACCAAGCAUUGUAAACUUCUUUUGUCAGGGGACAAAAUCAGGCUCGAGAGCCUGACCGAGGGUACUUGAAGAAAAAGCAUCGGCUAACUCCGUGCCAGCAGCCGCGGUAAUACGGAGGAUGCGAGCGUUAUCCGGAUUUAUUGGGUUUAAAGGGUGCGGAGGCGGGCUGUUAAGUCAGCGGUAAAAGCCCGGGGCUCAACCCCGGCGAGCCGUUGAAACUGGCGGUCUUGAGAUGGCGAGAGGUACGCGGAAUGCGCAGUGUAGCGGGGAAAUGCUUAGAUAUCGCGCAGAACUCCGAUUGAGAAGGCAGCAUACCGGCGGCGAUCUGACGCUGAGGCACGAAAGCGUGGGUAUCGAACAGGAUUAGAUACCCGAGUAGUC
rnacentral:rRNA from 1 species